rnacentral:rRNA from 1 species
UACGUAGGGUCCAAGCGUUAUCCGGAAUCACUGGCGUAAAGCGUGCGUAGGCGGAUGUUUAAGUGCAAUGCGAAAUCCUGUGGCUCAACCAUAUGGACUGUAUUGCAUACUGGAUAUCUGGAGGAAUGCAGAGGCAAGUGGAAUUACCGGUGUAGCAGUGAAAUGCGUAGAGAUCGGUAGGAACACCAAUGGCGAAGGCAGCUUGCUGGGCAUUUUCGUGA